GCUGCCAAGCUAGCCCAACAUGUCUAGGUAAUACCCACAACAAAACCAACCUAACAAGAACUACAAGCUAUUUAACAAACCAUUUUUCCACCCUAGUAUAGGAGAUAGAAAAGGAAAACUUUGAGCAACAACAAAAGUACCGUAAGGGAACGCUGAAAUAGAAAUGAAACAGCUCAUUUAAGCCUUAAAAACCAGAGAUUAAGCCUCGUACCUUUUGCAUCAUGGUUUAGCCAGAACACUUAAGCAGAGGGAACUCUAGUUUAAGCCCCCGAAACUAGACGAGCUACUCCGAGACAGCCUGAAUUCAGGGCCAACCCGUCUCUGUGGCAAAAGAGUGGGAAGAACUCCGAGUAGAGGUGAUAAACCUAUCGAGCCUAGUAAUAGCUGGUUGCUUAGAAAAUGGAUAAAAGUUCAGCCUCCUAAGUUCUUAAACCAAAAACCUUAAAAAUUAAAGACUAAAGAAAAUUAGGAGAGUUAGUCAAAGGAGGAACAGCUCCUUUGAGACAGGAUACAACCUUCACAGGUGGUUAAAAAUCAUAAUACUUAAGGUAAAGCUGUUUUAGUGGGCCUAAGAGCAGCCACCUAAAUAGAAAGCGUUAAAGCUCAAACAGACCAUAAACCUCAUAUUUUGAUAAAAAAUUUUACCCCCUAGAUCCAACUAAGCCUCCCCAUGCCCCCAUGGAAGAGCCCCUGCUAAAAUUAGUAAUAAGAGGGGCUACCCCCUCUCCGAACACACAUGUAAGUCGGACCGGACUAGCCGCCGACAAACAACGAACCCAAACCUAGAGGGUACACUGAGUCUUAAACAUAAACAAGAAAAACCCAAACAAGAAAUCGUUAACCCCACACAGGUGUGUUUUUUAGGAAAGACCUAAAGGAAGAAAAGGAACUCGGCAAACAAAAGCCUCGCCUGUUUACCAAAAACAUCGCCUCUUGUUAUUUUUAUAUAAGAGGUCCCGCCUGCCCUGUGACUAAGGGUUUAACGGCCGCGGUAUUUUGACCGUGCGAAGGUAGCGCAAUCACUUGUCUUUUAAAUGAAGACCUGUAUGAAAGGCACGACGAGGGCUCAGCUGUCUCCUCUCCCCAGUCAAUGAAAUUGAUCUCCCCGUGCAGAAGCGGGGCUACUACCAUAAGACGAGAAGACCCUAUGGAGCUUUAGACACGGGGUAGCUCAUACUAGAUCAACCCUGGACUAUCAGGAAAACUGACUCCUCCCCCAUUUGUCUUCGGUUGGGGCGACCGCGGAGGAAAAAAGAGCCUCCAUGUGGACCAAGAAUACUACUCUUACAACUAAGAUUCACAACUCUAAGCAACAGAACUUCUGACCAAAAUUGAUCCGGCACAUGCCGAUCAACGAACCAAGUUACCCUAGGGAUAACAGCGCAAUCCUCUCCUAGAGUCCUUAUCGACGAGGGGGUUUACGACCUCGAUGUUGGAUCAGGACAUCCUAGUGGUGCAACCGCUAUUAAGGGUUCGUUUGUUCAACGAUUAAAGUCCUACGUGAUCUGAGUUCAGACCGGAGUAAUCCAGGCCAGAUUCUAUCUAUGCUCUAUUCUUUCCUAGUACGAAAGGACCGGAAUAGAAGAGGCCCAUGCCCUUAGCACGCCUCACCCUCACCCACUGAAAACAACUAAAACAGAAAGAGGGCACACCCCAGGCCAGCCUUAAAUUAAGGCAA
rnacentral:rRNA from 1 species